rnacentral:ncRNA from 1 species
GGCGCGGAUAGGGUAGCUCCCGAAAGCUGGAUUCCGCAUCCAGCCUUCCGCGUCACCGAAUAUGCGG